rnacentral:rRNA from 1 species
UACGUAGGGUGCAAGCGUUGUCCGGAAUUAUUGGGCGUAAAGAGCUCGUAGGCGGUUUGUCGCGUCUGCUGUGAAAACUGGAGGCUCAACCUCCAGCCUGCAGUGGGUACGGGCAGACUAGAGUGCGGUAGGGGAGAUUGGAAUUCCUGGUGUAGCGGUGGAAUGCGCAGAUAUCAGGAGGAACACCGAUGGCGAAGGCAGAUCUCUGGGCCGACACUGACACUGAGAGACGAAAGCUAGGGGAGCGAAAUGGG